rnacentral:rRNA from 1 species
GACGAACGCUGGCGGCGUGCUUAACACAUGCAAGUCGAACGGUAAGGCCCUUCGGGUACGACGAGUGGCGAACGGGUGAGUAACACGUGGGUGAUCUGCCCUGCACUUCGGGAUAAGCCUGGGAAACUGGGUCUAAUACCGGAUAGGACUCCUGGCUUCAUGGUUGGGGGUGUAAAGCUUUUGCGGUGUGGGAUGGGCCCGCGGCCUAUCAGCUUGUUGGUGGGGUAAUGGCCUACCAAGGCGACGACGGGUAGCCGGCCUGAGAGGGUGACCGGCCACACUGGGACUGAGAUACGGCCCAGACUCCUACGGGAGGCAGCAGUGGGGAAUAUUGCACAAU